rnacentral:rRNA from 1 species
GAUGAACGCUGGCGGCGUGCUUAACACAUGCAAGUCGAACGGAAAGGCCCAAGCUUGCUUGGGUACUCGAGUGGCGAACGGGUGAGUAACACGUGGGUGAUCUGCCCUGCACUUCGGGAUAAGCCUGGGAAACUGGGUCUAAUACCGGAUAGGACCACUUCUUGGAUGUUGUGGUGGAAAGUUUUUUCGGUGUGGGAUGAGCUCGCGGCCUAUCAGCUUGUUGGUGGGGUAAUGGCCUACCAAGGCGUCGACGGGUAGCCGGCCUGAGAGGGUGUACGGCCACAUUGGGGCUGAGAUACGGCCCAGACUCCUACGGGAGGCAGCAGUGGGGAAUAUUGCACAAUGGGCGCAAGCCUGAUGCAGCGACGCCGCGUGGGGGAUGACGGCCUUCGGGUUGUAAACUCCUUUCGCUAGGGACGAAGCGUUUUGUGACGGUACCUGGAGAAGAAGCACCGGCUAACUACGUG